rnacentral:tRNA from 1 species
GGGUUGAUAGCUCAAUUGGUAGAGCAGUGGCCUUUUAAGCCAUUGGUUGUGGGUUCGAGACCCGCUCAACCUA